AGCAGCCGCGGUAAUUCCAGCUCCAAUAGCGUAUAUUAAAGUUGUUGCAGUUAAAAAGCUCGUAGUUGAAUUUCGGGAUCAGUACGCUGGUCGUGCCUUUGGUACGUACUGGUGUCACUGAUUCCUCCCUUCUGAAGAACCGUUAUGCCAUUUAUUUGGUGUGGCGGGGAAUCAGGACUGUUACUUUGAAAAAAUUAGAGUGUUUAAAGCAGGCUCGCGCUUGAAUACAUUAGCAUGGAAUAAUGAAAUAGGACGUUUGAUCUUAUUUUGUUGGUUUCUAGGAUCGACGUAAUGAUUAAUAGGGAUAGUUGGGGGCAUUAGUAUUCAAUUGUCAGAGGUGAAAUUCUUGGAUUUAUUGAAGACUAACUACUGCGAAAGCAUUUGCCAAGGAUGUUUUCAUUAAUCAAGAACGAAAGUUAGGGGAUCGAAGACGAUCAGAUACCGUCGUAGUCUUAACCAUAAACUAUGCCGACUAGGGAUCGGAUGAUGUUAUUUUUAAUGACUCAUUCGGCGCCUUAAC
rnacentral:rRNA from 1 species